CGGUUCCAUACAGUUCAUACAGACAAGAGAAUGUUUCAGAGAGGGUUAGUGUAAUGUUCAUGUUCGGUACUGGUUUUCAGUUUGUAAUCGCAUAGAUUAGUUGUUUAUACAUACUGGGCAAGAGUUUUAAAUCCCAGCAGACAAACUGGUGUAGAACUUCUGUGAUUAAAAAAGACAUUUUGUUUAGUUCUAUUAUUAUAUUAUAAUUUGCGUCAUAAUAUAUGUUCUGUUAUGAGAAACGUUACCUGGAAAUGUACUCACAAGUAGAGUUUAGAAAAAAUCCUAAGUUAACAGAAUAUGAGAGUGUAGUUGGAUCUGUGACAGCCUCAGGUCUAAAUAUUCGAAGCGACAUACAGAAAUAGAUUUCCCUCAAAAACAUGUAAAUCUUCAGUUGUGUUCGUGCUGCAAGAUGUAUUAAGACGUCCCAGUUUCAACAAAUUUACGAAGUUAGUGGGCGUAAUAAGAGAAUUUAGAGCAUUGAAUUUGCAUUUAAUAAACCAUAACACUUUAAAUUUCAGGGGUUUCAUGUUUAAUUAAUCCACAUUCAGAGUCCUUGUAUUUUAAUCUAAUGUGUCAUUUUAGGGUGUGUGUCUUGAUCGCUUGGAUAUGGUGUUCGUGGUUUCAAAUUCCACUCCAGACUUAAAUGUUCUUCCUAGUCCCUAUAUUGUGCUGUUGUGUUGGUAUUAAAAAAUAAAACAUGUCGCUCGCGCGUAGAAGUAAAUGACAAAUAGAUUCGUUGGUGAAUGAAUGUUGCUCAUUAUCUGUUUUUGAGAAUUGUAGGAGUUAAAACUGUAAGCAGAAAAAUGUGCUAAUAAUGUAAAAUCGUUAAAAAGUGCGGUGAUGUAAUAUACAGCUCAGUAUAAUAACAUCGUGUUUGAUUUUUUGACUAGCAAUAUUAUUGGUUAUGUUGGCCAUGUUUCGCGUUAAAUUACAUAAUAUAAAUGAUAAGCUGAUUUUGACGAAUCUGAAAUUUAUGUACAUUGAUAUGUGAAAUACGUUCUUGUACUUGUGUUGAAAGUUGUGAAGUGUAUGUAUAUUGUAUGAAAUGACAAGUCCUACAUCCUUUGGUUGAGUCCUAAGAAGGAUCCAUGGAAUGUAAAUAAACUCUAAACUCUCUAUGGAAACUACGCCAGAUAGAAGCGGACUAUGGGUAUUAUGUGGUAAGUCUUAAUAGGAAUAAUAACAUUGGAUUACCAUAGGAAUAGUCUGUCCCUUAUAGUACUUGACUACCCAUUUAAUGGCACUUCUCACACUGCAUUCUGACCACCAGCCCACUCUGUAGUUUCACCAAUAGUUCCUUGCAUUGUGAUACUGUAGUUGCCUUUGUACAUAAGUGUUUGAGUAUGAAAGCACCAGGCCAGACCAACAAAACUUUCACUGCAGUUUCUAUCCUGUUCGCCUUGUACACAUCCCAGAUUAAGUUCUUUGAAUAUUUCUGAAAGUUAUAUUUAAUUUUCUCAACAGAAUUUGGUUAUUAUCUUGUACAAACUCUUUGUACUACUGAGAAGCAUAAUUAAUUAUGUAAGAUUUGAGGUUUUCACAGAGGUGAAUAUGAAGAUUUCUGUCUUCUGGGUUGUUGCGCUGUGUAGUCUGGUUGAUGUUAACCAUGGACCAAGCCAGAUGGAUAUCAGUAAGACACAAAUUACUUCAGACAGCUGAUUGGUGGAGCCUUGCUCUUUUGACGCACGAGAUGCUGUCAAGAGCUACUCCUUUUGAAGCAGAAAGAGAAAACAACCAGCAGAUGAUAUUUGAGACACCGGGGUACUUCUGCCAUACUUCCUGCUUCUCGAUGACAGCAUUGUCGAUGAUGAUGAAGACCAUUUUGGUGUGGAUGCUCGCCCUCAGUUACCAGGCACUCAGCCUCACAAGACUGGUGGCACUUUCAAGGAUAUUGGCCGUGACAUGGGAUCCACUUAACAUGUUGAAAAUGUUUAAACAUACCUUUUAAGAAGGUAGCUGUCCUGUGGGUUGUAAUGCCAUCAUGUGGUAGAACAUUACAGACGUUUCAGAGGUGUUUGCUACCUCCGUCAUGAGGGAGAUGAUGAUGGAUGAAAUGUGUGUAAACUUCUACUAGACUACAUGGCACAGCAAACCACAAGAAACACAUUUUCAUACUCAUUGCUGUGUGGACCUGGAAUUAUAUGUUGACACAUCUAUGUUCAUAUUGUGAAUUACACGGAAUUUGAACUCAAUGGUGUAAGAAUCAAGUGACCCACUUAAUGUGAACCUCUUGCUGCACCAUUCAAAGACCAGUUUCAGUUGGUGAAUAUAGUGACUGAAAUCACAACGUUCAUAUAGUUGUGUGUCAUGCGCCGGAAUGACAGAGAAGAGUGGGCUAUUUAUUUCAGAGUACCCUUAGUUUUUACCCAGUAAUGUUAUUUUGUGUUACAUUGCUUAAUCUGUUGGUUUCCUGCAUUCAGUGUUAUGGUUUAUUUACAACAAUAUCAAUAACUCGGGAUUAUGUGGCUUCUUGUGAUAAACUGAUCAGUGAAUGAUGCACUGUAAAUGGUGUACAAGGAAGAACAUUUUACAUCACUUAGGACAAUAUCCAAUAUUUUCACUGACUGAGGAAAACCAGGAACAAUCCAUAUGAGUAUAGCUGUUGUCUGGACUGAGAUUGCUUCAGUGUAGUAUUCAGACACAUUUAGUAUAAAUGAGAUUUUAAUAUUGACGUUCCUUGCAUUGUUAUGAUGCAGCUAUGAGUUGGGCUGUGAACUAUAUAACAAAACUGGCGUGAAGGACACAUAUCUAAUGUGAGUACCUGCACUAAUAAAUGUAUUAACUCCCCAGAAAGGUG